rnacentral:lncRNA from 1 species
AACCUCUAUCAUACUUCACUCCCACACAACUUUAGCUUCUUUAUUCUUUAUGCCUCCAAAAGAAUGUUGACUGGACCAAGAUCCUCAUCCUAUUUUACUUGAUCUGGAAAAACAACAUUAGAUAUUGGGAUGAGCAUAAAACGCUGGUAAGUUCAAGCCAACACCUCAAGCAACCAGAAUCUAUUUUACAAUGCAGAAACUCAUCCACCCUAAUAGGUGUUUUUCGCAACUCAAAACACUUACCUGAAUUUUCUUCUUAUACUCAUCUUGCAAGUUUCUUCCAGCCACUAUCAAGACUUUACAAUUUCCAUAACAUAUUGUACAAUUUAAACAGAAUAACCGACAUUCAACUUACUUUCAUGUUCAUCCAUUUGCAGAACUAAGCUGCUUCCCCGCACUGUUUUUUCACAUACAUGUUUAAGUUUAUAUACAUGCAGUUAUUCUUGUCCAGCAGAUGAAAAAAAAACAUUCAGUGUAUACAUAUCCAUUAAAUCGUUCAAUAUAGAUGUCUAUUUAACUUAUUAGUAUCUCAACUUUUAUUUCCAUGAUUUCCCCUCAUCUCUUUCAUACACAUACAAUAACUCUUAUCUCGCGACUGAAAAACAUUAAAGUAAUAUAUAUUUGUCAACUGAAUCACCCAACACAAUUACUUAUUUCACCCAUUCAUAACUUCAUACUUUGUUUUCAUGAUUAUCCCUCAUCUAUCUCUUAUUUUAACUAAUUUUCUAUCAGAUUUCACACCCCGCUCCACCGGUCCAUUUCUCUACCUGUACUGUUCACACCAGCAAAUAAUGUACACACACAGAACACUAAGGCCACAACACACACACACAGGUGUAUUCGGCAUGCCAGGCACGGUCCUUCUGGCCUUCUCUUUCUAGGCCACAACUCUGGCGUCAUAUACAGAACAUAUUCGGGAGAUUCACUCCCUUCGGACCCUCUAUUAUCUCGGUCCACUCUGCUGAUUGAUUUUUAGUCAGCUGGUUCCCAUCUCUCCUGCCAGCACAUGCCCCCCCCACACACACCACACAAUAAGAAACAACAUACAGAAAAAUAUGAAUUAGCCUCAGUUUAAUAUUGAUUAGUAUUUACUUUCUAUCUUCUGUCACCAGUGUCCUCAUUAUCCCAUACUACCAUCCCUAUCGUUUAGGACCCCAUAUUAAACUCUUUUCAUGCUCAUUCGUCAUUAUUACUAUUCUGUCCUCACCCACGUUCACCGAUUUUUUGUCACUGAAAUGCAUGGUUCACCUGAAAGUACAUCAACUCACCUCAAAACCGUCUCAGCUAACCUAUCAUCCAAUAAGUUUCUCUUCUGUAUCAAUUAUCAAAUUUUGUUCAUGCUUAUGCCUACCCAGAAUCCCUUCUUGUCCCUCUUUGUGACACUCAUCUCUCAUUCGAUGUUCUCUCUGUCUAUCUCUAACUUUUCCCUUCCCUGGCUACUAUACACUUCAGAAAUUCACUCCUAGAUUUUGGUUAACCCGGCCCAGUUUUAAACUCAGAACCUCAAUCUAUUAGCCUCACCUGAGCUCUCUCCCUCAGCCUAUCAUUCGGCCAUAACCACAGUGAAAUUCGGACAAUGUAAUACAUACCAGUACACAUAUAUGCAUUUUACAUUUACUGUUAAGUUUUCUUACAGCCUGCUUCCAUCUGUUUCUGGAGACUGAAAUGAACUUACCUCUCGGAUUUGCACGACGGAAAUAAAUUGAGUGGACUCUCUUCCUCUUUUUAGUUCCUCUCAGCUAGCGAUGCUUCUCUGCUUGGUUGCUCUCCUCUCUUUCACGAAUUUCUUACUAUUUUGCUCCCUCUCCAUCCAUCGGCAGCCUCUCUCUCUCUUAGGGUUUCUUCUUCUUUCCCUCCUUUUUCUUUGGUGUAAAAACAGUGCCCUUUAUAUAGUGGGUAAAGUUAGAUCAUAGUCGUCCAUUAUGGAUGAGAUUUUUACCCUCAAUUUCUUAUUUCUUUUUUCUUUCUUGUGAUGUUACAUACUUCUCCGUCAAAAAAAAAUUUGUCCUUCAAAUUUACACUUGGUUUGGAAUUUAUUUCAAGUGGUAAUGUUUGGUUUUAGCUCUUGCAAGUAUACCUUAAACUUUUAAAAUUUUCAAAUAUCUAUACUUAAGUAUGGUCUUAAGAUAUAUGUUGCGUAUUUAUUACAUCAUUAUUUUUUUUUUCCGUUAAUUCAAAGAGAAAUCUUCUAUGUGUGGUGGGUUAUUGGUCCUCCACUCUCCCACUACUCUAUUUUAGUGAAGUUCACUUUGGAGCCCCAUCUUAGUAUAUUGCAUUAUUUUCGUAUUUUUUUAAUCUACAAAAGACUUAUAUUCUAGAUUUAUCAUCCACAGGUAAUGACUUAUUAUUAGAACAUGUUCCUAGAACAUUCUCUUUCUUCUUCAAAAUUUUAUUUUAGAGGGGACAAGAAGUGUCAGGAAGAAGAGUUUUAAUUUGGCAUACUUUUUUUCAUCCCACACAAAAAUAUUUAUAUCUACCUAGCAUGUGAGAAUUUAAUAUUUAAGGGUUUUCUGAAUCAUCAUUACAACUUCUGUGUGACAUCUCAAUAGAAAUUUAUAUAAGUAGGAUACUUAUUAUUUAUUUAUUAUUUUAUUUUUUUAAAAGCUUUAUUCAUUAUUUCCUAUUGAAUAUUUUCUUUGGUGACAUUUAAGUUUUAUAUGGUUUUAUGUGCUAAGAUCAAUUAUGAUUGUUACUUUUUCACCAUCUUCAGUUGGCUUUGGAGUAAAACCCUAAGAUUUUAUUUCCUAAGUUUGUCACAUUUCGAACCCAUGCAAUUUAUAUCUCUUCGAACUUUCAAAAUCAUGGUCUUAUUCUCUCACAGUCGUAGAUGUUUUGGAAGAAGUCCCAAAACCUCUCCUAAUGUGCAUGUUAUCUAAUUUCUUUUGACUUCGCCGAGUACAAUGGUAAUUCCUUAUUUUCCUUAGUAACCUCGGAAUUAUUUUCAUGUCUACAUUUUACCUAAAAUAAAACAUUACCUCAAUGAUUUUUCUGUUGGCUCCCAAAAUAAACGUUGGUGGAUUUUAAAAAGUGGGUGUUUGUGUCAUCAAAAUUCCUCUUUCUUACUCAAUGAUUUACUACGCAAGCAAUUUACUCCGGCUCAUUGAUUCUUAUUAUUUUAGAACUCAAUAUAGUCAGAUUAUCUUGAGAAUGACUUAAUUUAAAUUCGUUGAGAUUUUCAAUUCAUGAGAUAGGAAACUUACGAUCACGAGAGUCGUUGACAAUUAUACAAGGAUCUCACUAGAUUGUUUCCACUUUUCCCUUCAAUAUUCCCUACUGGCUAUUCUAUUUUGCUCACUCUUUUCCAGUAAUCAUUUUCUACCCAAAAGAAGACCAAUAUCUUGUCCCCUCAUGCUCCCUUGCCUCACUGUACCCGUACCCAUCCCUCUAUACCUGCACCAUACUCAACCAUACUGUCCACAGAGAUUUCAGAAUUUAAUUCACAGUGUCCAUAAAUAUAUAUAUGCAUUGUCCAGUUAGUGUAACUUUUCCAGAAUUUAAUUGGUAACAACCUUUGUUUCAGAAAGCAUAAAUCAGUACCAUUACACACACACCCGCAUAUUCACAGUGUCUGUUUAUAAAUAUAUAUGCAUUAUCUAGUUAGUGUAACUUUUCCGGGGCAUCGACCCCGCGACCCGUCACUGGGCCAUUAAUAUCACAAUAAAUAGCUCGUUCUCCAGAGCACGACAAUUCACUAUUUUUAAUCAAUAACGACCGAGAACCCGACCACACACACAUAACCACAUCGUUCUUCAUUUCUGUUAGAAUAUUAAUAUUUAAAAAAUUGAACGUUAUAUAAAGAAUUCCAUCAACCAAUCAAACCGCAAAUAGUUCAUAGUAGUAUGGUAGCUGCUCGAGAGUGACAGGUAAGCGAAUCAUUUUCACUUUUCUUCUAAGACAAACUCUCUCUCUCUCAAGUUGAAACUAUUUUAUGAACAGGAAAACUUGCAUUGCGUAAAAUCCACUGCGAUUUCAGAUUACAACCAAGCGUUUUGUAAGAUUCUCUGCUCUUACAGUUUUCGGAGAGGGAAAAAUUGGGAAUAUCGAUGGCGGAGCAGUCAAGAAAAUGGAUGGUGCUGGUGGCUACGACGUGGAUUCAGGCGUUUACAGGGACGAAUUUUGAUUUCUCAUCAUACUCGUCGACGUUGAAAUCAGUUCUAGGUAUAUCGCAGGUUCAACUGAAUUAUUUGUCGGUGGCAUCGGACAUGGGGAAGCUAUUCGGAUGGUGCUCCGGCGUCUCUCUCAUCUACUUCCCUCUAUGGACGGUUAUGCUCUCGGCUGCCUUCAUCGGACUCGUUGGUUACGGACUCCAGUGGCUCCUCAUUCACAACUUCAUCACUUUGCCCUACUUUCUGGUAUUUACUUUUCAUUCUCUCUUUUUUAAUAGAAUUUUCUAGAAGAUGUUUCUCGAUAAGUUUUAACUAACGGAGAUAUCUGCAAUCGUAAUAUUUUAAUUAUUUUAAAUUUAGAAAUUAAUCUCAAAUUAAAAAACUAGUACAACUGAUAUUGUCAAUUAAUUGUUGAACCAACUGAUUGAUAAUUGGACUUUGAUGUCAUCAAAAGGAAUUAAAAUUCUAUUAAGAUUAAUUUGUCAUGUAGUUCAUUUAAUUGAAUGAUUAAGAAUCUUCCUGCGUCUAAUGAAGAAAAUUUAAAAAAAUAUAUAUUUUUUUAAAAUAAUUAAUUAAAUUAAUGAAUUGAUAAUUAAUUUAUAAAUUUUAUUAAACUAAUAUUAUUAUUAAAUUAAUUUUUAAAUCAUAUAAAUAUCUUCUAAUUAUUUUGAUUUUUUAUUAAAAAUAAAAAAAUAGAUGUUUAAAUUAAAUAAACAAAUAUUAUAGGAAAAAAUAUAAUGAAAUUAAAAAUUAAAUUAUAAUAAAUAUCAAAUUUUAAGGAAAUAAAUAAUUUAUUUUAUUAUUUUUAAUAUUACUUAUUAAUUAAGCAUAAUAAUUCUAUUUUUUUUAUUUAAAUUUUUAUUGGUUAUGAAUGAUGUCCCACUGGAUGUAUAUUCUAUAUUUAUGUAUGGACAUCAUCAUCACCUUCACAAGUUUCGUGCCUGCUGGGAUAUGGGAAAUUAGAGUCACGGACAAGUCUCCUAAUUCUACUGAGCACGAAAUAAUUUUGUUUUAAAUUGACACGUGGAUAAAAAUUAUUCAGGCAUCGGGUUGUCCGUGAAAAUAGUUUUAAUUUUUAAAUCUAAAUAUUUUAUUUAUAAAUUUUAAUUUUUAAAAAAUUAUUUUUGGUACUUUACUUAUUUCAUAAAUAUGCAAUUUUUAUAUAUUUUAUUGAAUAAAGAUAUGAUAUAAUAACACAUUGAUUUAAAAAAAAUAAUAAGAAAUAAAAUAUAUUGUAUUGUAUGUACCAAGUAGAGGAAAUAAUUAACAACCAUUUCUGAAUUAAAUAAUUAAUACUUUUAUUGUUAGUUUUUUAAAAUAUAUAGAUAUGCGGUCCUCCCAUGCACCACGUUUUAAACUACCAUUCUUAAAAGUUUGCUUUAUGGAUUCCCAUUUGUGUUUUGGUUUGAAAUUGUGAUAUACGUUAAUAAUCCAAAGCCUCGUUACUCAAUAGUGCUAUCUAGUUUCAUUCUACAGAAAUCUUUUUCUGCAAAUGAAAUAUAUUAAUUAAAUUCUGACAUAGAGAAAAAGAAAAAUGAUUUUGGUGUACUAUAUUUAGAAAAUUUAUUUGUUUAUGUUAUUCGAGAAUAAUUUCUGCUAUUUCUCAAAAAACAAUUUCAAUAACACUAACUUUUUGAAACAAUUUUAUAAAAUCAAUAAUUACAGGCACAAAUUUUGAAUUAAAUUGCAAUAUAACCCACAACAGAACCCACAAUUCUGAAACUAACCCAAGAUGUGUAUAAUUUAGAGGAGAAAGUUCUUUUCAUUCUACACUUACAAUUAUGAUAAUAAACACUUAUCUUGCAGGUUUUUCUUCUAUGUCUAUUAUCCGGUUGCAGCAUCUGCUGGUUCAACACAGUCUGCUUUGUAUUAUGUAUUCGGAAUUUCCCAACAAACAAGGCACUUGCACUAUCUCUUUCCAUCAGCUUCAAUGGCGUCAGCGCUGCAAUUUACACUCUCAUCACAAACGCAAUCAAAUAUGAAGAUGACACUCUCUAUCUCUUCUCAAACGCACUCAUCCCACUCUGCAUCUCAUGCUUAACUCUCCCUAUUAUCCUCUCCCAACCGCCAUUGCAUCCUCCUGAUGCUACUCGCCAUGACUCCUCCAUUUU